rnacentral:rRNA from 1 species
UGGGGAAUAUUGGACAAUGGGCGAAAGCCUGAUCCAGCCAUGCCGCGUGUGUGAAGAAGGUCUUCGGAUUGUAAAGCACUUUAAGUUGGGAGGAAGGGCAGUAAGCGAAUACCUUGCUGUUUUGACGUUACCGACAGAAUAAGCACCGGCUAACUCUGUGCCAGCAGCCGCGGUAAUACAGAGGGUGCAAGCGUUAAUCGGAAUUACUGGGCGUAAAGCGCGCGUAGGUGGUUCGUUAAGUUGAAUGUGAAAGCCCCGGGCUCAACCUGGGAACUGCAUCCAAAACUGGCGAGCUAGAGUAGGGCAGAGGGUGGUGGAAUUUCCUGUGUAGCGGUGAAAUGCGUAGGUAUAGGAAGGAACACCAGUGGUGAAGGCGACCACCUGGGCUCAUACUGACACUGAGGUGCGAAAGCGUGGGGAGCAAACAGG